GACAGAGGUGCCGAGCGUUAGGCGGAAUCACUGGGCUUAAAGCGUGUGUAGGCGGACCGUUAAGUACCUUGUGAAAUCCUGCGGCUCAACCGCAGAACGGCUGGGUAUACUGGCGGUCUUGGGCCACCUAGGGGCAGAUGGAACAAGUGGUGGAGCGGUGAAAUGCGUAGAUAUCACUUGGAACGCCAAAGGUGAAAACAGUCUGCUGGGGGUGUGCCGACGCUGAGACACGAAAGCCAGGGGAGCAAACGGG
rnacentral:rRNA from 1 species